CCUACGGGUGGCAGCAGUCGAGAAUUUUUCACAAUGGGGGAAACCCUGAUGGAGCGACGCCGCGUGGGGGAUGAAGGGCUUCGGCUCGUAAACCCCUGUCAGCCACGAUCAAUGCUCAUGACCUAACACGUCGUGAGUUGAUAGUAGUGGCAGAGGAAGGGACGGCUAACUCUGUGCCAGCAGCCGCGGUAAUACAGAGGUCCCAAGCGUUGUUCGGAUUUACUGGGCGUAAAGGGUGCGUAGGCGGUCGGGUAAGUCUCAUGUGAAAUCUCUGAGCUCAACUCAGAAAUGGCAUGGGAUACUAUUCGGCUCGAGGAUUGGAAGGGGGACUGGAAUUCCCGGUGUAGCAGUGAAAUGCGUAGAUAUCGGGAGGAACACCAGUGGCGAAGGCGAGUCCCUGGACAAUUCCUGACGCUGAGGCACGAAAGCUAGGGGAGCAA
rnacentral:rRNA from 1 species